rnacentral:rRNA from 1 species
UACAGAGGGUGCUAGCGUUGUUCGGAAUCAUUGGGCGUAAAGGGCGUGUAGGCGGUUUGUUAAGUCAUGUGUGAAAUCCCUCGGCUCAACCGGGGAACGACGCAUGAAACUGGCAAGCUAGAGUACCAAAGAGGGGGGUGGAAUUCCCGGUGUAGCGGUGAAAUGCGUAGAGAUGCGGAGGAACACCGAUGGUGAAGGCAGCCCCCCUGGGCUAGCACUGACGCUCAGGCACGAAAGCGUGGGGAGCAAACAGGG